GACGAACGCUGGCGGCGUGCUUAACACAUGCAAGUCGAACGGUGAAGUGCCUUCCUUUUUGGUGGGUGUGGAUGAGUGGCGAACGGGUGAGUAACACGUGAGUAACCUGCCCCCUUCUUCUGGAUAACCGCAUGAAAGUGUGGCUAAUACGGGAUAUUCUGGGUCUGUCGCAUGAUGGGUCUGGGAAAGAUAUUGUUUCGGUGGGGGAUGGGCUCGCGGCCUAUCAGCUUGUUGGUGGGGUGAUGGCCUACCAAGGCGGUGACGGGUAGCCGGCCUGAGAGGGUGGACGGUCACACUGGGACUGAGACACGGCCCAGACUCCUACGGGAGGCAGCAGUGGGGAAUAUUGCACAAUGGGCGCAAGCCUGAUGCAGCGACGCCGCGUGAGGGAUGGAGGCCUUCGGGUUGUGAACAUCUUUCGCCAGUGAAGCAGGCCUGCCUCGUUUGUGGGUGGGUUGACGGUAGCUGGAUAAGAAGCGCCGGCUAACUACGUG
rnacentral:rRNA from 1 species